CGGAAGGGCGGCGGAAGCUGGCCGAGGUCGUGGUGCUUCCGCUUCAAGCCUUUGGAGCGGAAAGCCGCAGGUUACGCUUAAUUCAGGAAAGAGUCAAAUUUGGGACUAUUGAGAACUUGAUCAUAGUUGGUGUCCAAACUCUCAACUCCAGCAAACUAGGACCAGACAUUGGAACCUCGUAUCCAGGGCCAUCUGUGGCAGCCCUUCAGAGACGUGGCUGGGAAGCAUUGCCUGGAACACUACCUGGCCCGCUGCAGUGCUCAGCAGAUAGCCAUUGCUGACUGAAGGAACGGAGGUGUGGACAGAGAGGCUAGUCCCGUCACAGUCACCAUGUGGGGUAGGGAGGGGAUUACUUUUUUCAUUACCUUCCUGCAUAUUGCUUUAUAUGUUACAGUGAGCAUAUAUUACUUUUGUAUUUUUAAAGACAAUUUAAUAAAAGAAUAAGGACCUGAAAUGUAAACUUAGA
rnacentral:lncRNA from 1 species